GUCCACGCCGUAAACGAUGGAUGCUAGAUGUUGGGGGUAUUGACCCCUCCAGCGUCGCAGCUAACGCAAUAAGCAUCCCGCCUGGGGAGUACGGCCGCAAGGCUAAAACUCAAAGGAAUUGACGGGGGCCCCGCACAAGCGGUGGAGCAUGUGGUUUAAUUCGACGCAACGCGCAGAACCUUACCUGGGUUAAAUCCGCCGGAAUUCCGCAGAGAUGUGGAGGUGCCAUUCGGGGAACCGGCGAGACGGUGCUGCAUGGCUGUCGU
rnacentral:rRNA from 1 species